rnacentral:rRNA from 1 species
AACGUAGGAGACAAACGUUAUCCGGAGUUACUGGGCGUAAAGGGCGUGCAGGUGGCUUGAUAAGUUCGGCGUGAAAUUUCCCGGCUUAACCGGGGGAUGUCGUCGGAGACUGUCGAGCUAGAGGGUGAUAGAGGCGUGUGGAAUUCCGGGUGUAGUGGUGAAAUGGCGUAGAGAUCCGGAGGAACACCAGUGGCGAAGGCGACACGCUGGGUCAUACCUGACACUAAAACGCGACAGCAUGGGGAGCGAACGGG